CUGGGGGAAGAGUGCUCUGUCUGUUGCCAGAGGAUGUUGAAAUCCCUGCUCUGCCAGGCACUGGGAGCUCCCUGAGCUCCGACAUGGUGUUUGCACCGGGUCAGCCUGCUGCCUCUAGCGCUGGAGCCGGCAAGCGAGAGAAUCUCUGGACUCCCCGUGGCUCGAGCAGCUUCCCCGUGAGCCUGGCACAGAAGCGCUUUGCUUUGAUCCUAGCGCUGACUAAAGUCAUCCUCUGGCUGCCUAUGAUGGUGAGUGUAUUUAGCACUCAGGGUGUGUGAGCUGAGCCCAGACGCGGGUUUGGGGAUAAGUCCGCUUCCAGAGGCAUCGGUUGUCUCUGAAGACAGGUCCCGAGGAAAGCAAUUCACCUGGGGACUCGUUAACUACCAAACCCCGUGGCUGUUAAGUAAUUUUCGAUCUGAGAAAGGUGGAGAGCCUUCGGUCACAAGAGACUUGGUUUUCCUAGAUCGUGGUGGUCAAAGAUGUACUCUCUCUUAGGCAAAAAAAAAAAAAAAAA
rnacentral:lncRNA from 1 species